AAGUCGUAACAAGGUAACCGUAGGUGAACCUGCGGUUGGAUCAUUAACAAAAAUUUUAAUCUCGAGUCCAUACUAAUUUUUGGUAAGGACUCUUGAACAAAAUGUGAACUGUUUUAAAAAAAAGAUUUUGGGUUGGGUUUUUCCUGAAAGGGAAAACGUAAGUUUGUUCACUCUUUUGUGAACUUUGCCUGCCCAAGAUAAAAUUAUUAGACCUAGUAGAAAAAAUUGUCUUUAAUUUGAAAAGCUUUUUUUAGCUUAAUUUAUAUUAAGAAAAAAACAACUUUUGACAACGGAUCUCUAGGCUCUC
rnacentral:misc_RNA from 1 species